UUACGAGAAACGACGCAUCUCGUUCCAGCAGAUUGUGUACAUUUCUACGAUAAUUUUAAUUAGCGACAGAAGGAUUGUUCGAGUCGCAAAUGGCUUCAACGUAGAACGCCUUGAUUUUGAUGCGGAUAAUAAUCGAAUUUCCUGAAUAAUACCAAUCCACAAAAAGUCAUUAUAGGUAGGUAGGUUUCUGCACAAAAGAGUCCAAUUAUCCAUUAUAUGAACAGUCUCAACAUUCGGUGGAAUAGUUUUCAACGCCUAUUUAAUAUGCUAAUUCUUCAGUACACUAAUUCUUUACUAAAUAUACAAGCUAUUUGAAAAAUUUUAGUACAAGCGGAAAGAAGCUUCCGAAGAUUAUCUCCAUUUAAAAAAAGCUGAAUUUGAAUAUUCGUUAAGAACGUACUCAUCUCCUGCCCACAAAGCUCCACAAUUUUCGGAACACCUUGUACAUAUUCAAACGUUAAAUUUCACAAAUUCAAGUUAAAACAUCUUCUAAACUAAAAUAACUUUUCCACACAAAUAAGUUAACUUCUUUUUUGUAGGAAAUACCUAUAUAAACUAUACGAUUCCAUUAGAAAAAGGAAAAGCGUGUCACCUUCGUAUGACCUCUACUUAGCUGUCUACAAAAAAGCUAAUUACACCGGAUUAUGUCUGCUCCGAUACCAUACAACCUCUGUUCGUAACAUCUUCUCGUAUUUUCGAUACUUAGAGAAGUAAUCGCGUGUGUGUACUUAAAAAAAACAUACCAUGUAUAAAAGUUUCCCAAGUGGCGAUUUUCUAAGUUUUCCGUAUAGUAGCCACUGUGCGUAACAUCCGUAAAAAUGCGAUUAAUUUCUAUCGAGCGACACGUGCGAUUUCGCUACCAGGAUAUUGGAAAAUUUUCUUUUAUUCGAAACGAAUUUGACAGUCGAAAAUCGAGCAGCUUUGACGGUUAACGAGAAUAUCGUUUACGCAGCUAUACAGUUAAUCGCGAUAACGUUGUUAUCAUAUUUAUAUCGUAUUGCUGCGUCGUUUAGGAUGGCGCUGUUGAUUUUCACGUAUAAUAUCGUCAGGGGCGUGUAAUGCAGCGCGUUAGGUUACGUAGAUGCAUUUGACGAGUCCCCCAGUCCAAUUAAGUAUUCAAUUUCGCCUAUCGAUUUCAAUUUCUCAUCCCUCGCCCUCGACGACGAUGUGACUCGGCCGUCGCCUUCACUUUCCCGUCGAAAUAAUCAUCGUCGGCUGGACGAAAAAGAAAUUUCAUCGCGGUCUAUCGAAGUAUCGUUGAAACGUAAAACGUAAAGUCGUCCGUUCUUUGUUGUUUGCUUUCGUUGCGGUUUCUUUGGCGCUUCAGAGAUAAUUGAGAGAUAGUGGAACGAGAAUAUCGUGGAAACGCGACAAUUGUCUUGGUAGAUUAGCUUUGUUCUCGCUGACAAAACCUUCCUCGCAGAAAAGGAAUAUAUACUUAUUCGUUUCCUUAUGAUUUAUAUUUUUUAUAUUAUUGAUUUAUAUUAUUGAUAUAAUAUUUGGUACACGAAAUCAUCACUUAUAUUUUUCUAGGCAAGCUGGUGCAUGUGCAAUUGAAGAGUCAUUUAGAUUAGUCAUAAGAUUGAUAAAUCGCUAGCAAAAUUGUGAGAUGCUAAGAAAUAUGUAAAAUCAGUUCUCAGUCCCGAGGCCUCCGAGUCCUCAGUUCUAAGAAAAUAUUUUCAAAAAAGAAGCAGCUACUGAUCAACUUUAUCAAUAUAGGUAAGGCGCCACUAAAAUAUAGUUAUCACGUUAUACACGUAGGAAAUCAUUAGGUCGCUACGUACAUUCUGUCUACCUCUUCCUUUUCCUUUUGCAAAUACAAAAGCAUCCGCGAUAUCGUCAUAAAUAAUAAGCGAAAAUACGUGAUAAAUAUUUGAAAUCAGCAUAAAGUAUUUUGAAAAAUCAAAUUCGUAGGAGAUUCAGUGGAUAAAAUUAAUUUUACGAAUUUAUGUUAUAUAUAAUUCGUGGAUGCUUUGGUGGAUAAAAUUAAUGUUAAGAAUUUAUGUUAUAAUACGAUAUAUAAUAUAUUUCUAAUAUAAAUUUCUACAUAUAUUACAUAUAAUAUAAUUCUAAUAUUAAUCUGUAUUUGUACACUGAUCCCUCAACUGGUAUACUCAAUCGCAUUACGUUUAAUGACAUUACUAGUAAGUCAUUGUAUAUGUACGUUUUUUUUCUUUUGUACUGACAAACUUUAUUUGCAUUUUCACUUUCAUUCGCGUAAAUUGAAGGACGGGUGUGUAUAUCCCGGUUGAGAUGAAUUAUUCUUCUCUACAAUAUUUACGUUUAAUAUUUACAUACACAAUAUUUACAUUAAUAGCAGUAAAAUAUUAGCACUAAAACACACACGGCCAUGUCAUAUUGAUACUGUCUAUAUCUCGGUGUUUCCCAAAUGUGCACCAUAGACAAUUAAUCAUUCCAUAAAAUAUCUGCAAAAAUUUCAUUCGAAAAACACGUUAACGUACGCGUACUCGAAUUACGAGAUUCUUUUUGCAAGGAGAUUGGUCAUACUGUUGUAGAAAAAUAGCAGCUGGAAAACAGGAUAACAAUACCCAACAUUUCUACGCGUUCACAAUGUCGAAGAGAAACUGGUACUGUUGUUGGUAACAUGCUCCUCUGCUUCACCUAACCCCUUUUCAUUCUUUUUACGAAGCUGUAUGGGAUCGAGGGUACAUUCAAAUAGAAAGUUUAACACACACGAGUAGUUGACAGUAAACGUUGACGAAGCCGCAGUUACUAUUAGCCACGAUCAUGUCGAUAGCCAAGGGAUACAGUGAAUGGAUGCAGCUUUGCUUGCGUGCACGAUAAAGCACAAGAGGUAUAUUAGUAGAUUUUGAACAGUAUCAGUGUACUAUAUCAGUGUGGAAUAUAAUUCUGAAUAAAUAACGAAGUACGAGCACUUGUACUACGCUGCAUUCACUGUACCAUCGAUACAGCUUUUGUGUUUGUUAUAUACACGGAAAUCAUUAUGUCUUGGAAAUGAACGCUCGAAAUAAGAUUCUGAACGCUGGCGAAGUUUAUUGAUUCGUACUCUGAACAUGUACUACGCGUACAGUGCUGUGAAUAAUUGCAGACUCAAACGUAUUUUCCGCAUUAUUUCUUCGAUAUUUCCAAGAAACCAUUGUUCAUGUCUGAAUAUUGUUCAGUGAAGUUGUGUUUGUAAAGGGUAGAUUGAACGCUAUGGGAAAGGAAGCAAUGGUACAUGGCGAAUUAUUGUCUUUCAUUGGCGAAAUAAGAGACAAAAGACAAUUUUUCAGCGAGACUGGAGCGACUUUGAAGCUUUCAAAAUUUCCGGAUAGAAUACGAAAGUUUACAAUCAGAGAAAGCUACCUGUGAAAAAUAUCGCGCAACUUGGGCGGAUAUUCGAAACGGAACUUUAAAUAAGUUAGCGGAUAGCGUGCUUGGCAGAUUAGUAAAAGUAGUUAAAAAUAAAGGAAAAUCCACUAAAUAUUGAAUGAGAAGGGCUGUGUUUAUAAUCAGUCGCUGUACAUCGAACACAAAUGCGUUCCUCAUCCACAACAUUACAAACAAAUUGUUCAGAGUAAACCUGCCAAGGAUCCACAGGAACCUAUAAGGAAUCAUCAUACAUAAAGGAUGGAUUUUUCAUAAUAAAAACGCGAAGGAUAUAAGCAAAACGUACAUCACGUGUCUAAGAAUUAUCUACUAGAUAAAAAAAUGAAUAACCUAAAUUCUUCAGCGAAAUUGAAAAUUUAUUAAAAAGGAAAUACAGCCAGUUUUUCGGUCAAAAUAUACGCCGUUGUUUUCUAUAAUUUCAAGUCAUGUUACCAUUUUAAUGAAGUCCAUCGUGGAGAAAUGUCGCGUCUACGACAAGUGCCAAUCGUCGUCGAGUCAUAUUUGUGUUUCAUCUACUAAUUGGAAGUGGAUAUUGGAUAACGCGUAUUGCAUCGAUCAGAAAUAAUCUAAUAAUCCAAAGGAGGAAAAUGUCUAGCGAACAUACUGGCUGCUGCAACGUUUCCCAUCCAAGAUUUGUCGUGAUGUCUUUUGUGGCAGAAGCACUCGGAAGAAGUUGUCACGCAGUAAUUUCACAGAACGUUUUGCUUUGUCAAUACGCUGUCGAUUGGAUUCUGUUUAACUCUUUGAGCGCUGCGUUGUCCGACGUUAAGCGUGCGCCGUGGGCUGCGUAUUUUUUACGGAACAGCGUAAGUUGAGCAGACUAAAUUUUCAUUGCAAAAUAUUAGGUCAUCCCAUAAGUUCGUGCCGUUUUUCGAGCGGUUAUAUAUGUUAUUUUUUUUAAACACCUAUGAAUCAUUGUCUUAGGUAUUUUCAGAACAUUUGACAUCUCUUGAACUGUCAAACUUCGUGAUUUUUCAACAAGAUCCCGAAUUUUAUCUUCGUCUGUCUGAGGAGGACGCCCGGAGCGUUCCUCGUCUUUUAAACAGAAAUUCCCAGCUCUAAAACGUUGGAACCACUUCCUACAGGUGCGAGAUGAAAGCGCAUUUUCUCCGUAAACAGCACAUAUGUUUUUCGUGGCAAUUGUUGCAGAACUUCCUUUCCGAAAUUCAUAUAACAUGAGAUGUCGAAAAUGAAUACGCAUUUCACUCAUGAUUUUUUACUGUUAGAAGUCACUGUGUUCACUAUAUUACGAUCUUAUACUCACGAAAAUCUGCUCUAGCCUGUUCUCGAUCAGCUAAGCUCAAGUGCAUUGGUCCUUUAUCGCCGUAUGUUUAUAAAUCGACACAUGAAAUGUAUACACAAAAGUCGGCACGAACUUAUGGGAUGACCUAAUAUAUCGAUUGUAACUAAAAUAAAUUAUGUAGUGAGCUCAAAAGCUUUAAUAACCAUUUAUUUCAUUAAGCAAUAAUAACAUGAACGAUAUAAAAGUUUGAAAUUAUAUCUUUUAAAUUGAAAAUUUAAUAAUUUUGUAUUGUAUGGUAAAUAUCAAAGCAGGGUUCAAUACAUAAACCAAUGUUACAUUUUUUGCAUUCGUAACACGAGUCAGUCCUGCGAUUAUGUUUCGUGCAAACAGCGCAUCUUCGUCGUGAAGAAUGUUUAUUAUUUUCUUUAGUUAUGCAGAUGUAGGGAAAUGCCUCUCCAUUAACCGAAAUGGAAGGUCGUCCAAAUGAACUCUUCCUCUUUUAGCCUUCACUCUGUGUGGUGGGUACUUUUGCAAAAUAUCUUUUAUGAGAAGCAGAUGAAAAUUUUUCAAGUAUUCCAGUUUUAUUAUUAGCAUUUUUCUAAAGAAUAUAUGCACUAUAUAUAGCAAGGUCUAAGAGGAGGACAAAAUAUUUUUUAUAACCAUUUUGUGCUUUUUCAAAAGCAGUGAAGUGAAAUCAAAAUCAUAUUGAUUUUAUCAACUGCGUCCAUCAAGGCAUUGUAGUCUGCUACACACUUUGGUUUUCGCUUUGUUUUGCCAGUUUGAUAAUUAAUAUCUUUUGUUUCAACGAAAUCAUCAGAAUGUGAGGUGGAUAACAUCCAUACGUCUUUUAUAUCACGCUUAUAGCGCUCAAAGGGUUGUAGCGGCACAUGAGUAGAGGACAAUUCAAAUCAUAUUGUUGUUUUGUCU